rnacentral:lncRNA from 1 species
AGAUCACAGAGAGGGGGUCCUGAUAACCCCUUACCAUCUGCUGCCCAUCCAUCACCCUUUCUCUUUGCCUUUGGUCUCACGCGGCUUAUAGAACCUGCUUAGACUGCUAAGGCAAGGCCCUCUCGGCCGCUCCACUAACUUUUCUUCUGGAAUGCUUAGCUCAGAGAAGACAGCUAAGCCCCUGAAAGUCACAGAGGAAGUUGAUGAGAAAAGAAAACUGCGAAGCCCAAGCCCCACCAGGACUUAAGUACCCUGGGAAAGCCUCAGGACAACUUGGGGGAAAGACACUCCUGUCCCCCAUGGUGUCCUCCUGUCCAGGACUGGGGGCCGCCG